rnacentral:rRNA from 1 species
AUGCUUAACACAUGCAAGUCGAACGAGAAAGUGGAGCAAUCCAUGAGUAAAGUGGCGACCGGGUGAGUAACACGUGACUAACCUGCCUUCGAGUGGGGAAUAACCUAGGGAAACCUGGGCUAAUACCGCAUAACACUUACGAGUCAAAGCAGUAAUGCGCUUGAGGAGGGGGUCGCGGCAGAUUAGCUAGUUGGUGGGGUAAUGGCCCACCAAGGCGAUGAUCUGUAUCCGGCCUGAGAGGGCGCACGGACACACUGGAACUGAAACACGGUCCAGACUCCUACGGGAGGCAGCAGUGGGGAAUUUUGCGCAAUGGGGGAAACCCUGACGCAGCAACGCCGCGUGGAGGAUGAAAUCCCUUGGGAUGUAAACUCCUUUCGAUCGGGACGAUUAUGACGGUACCGGAAGAAGAAGCCCCGGCUAACUUCGUGCCAGCAGCCGCGGUAAUACGAGGGGGGCAAGCGUUGUUCGGAAUUAUUGGGCGUAAAGGGUGCGUAGGCGGUCUGAUAAGUCAUCUGUGAAAUCUAUGGGCUCAACCCAUAGUCUGCAGGCGAAACUGUCGGGCUUGAGUAUGGGAGAGGUGAGUGGAAUUUCCGGUGUAGCGGUGAAAUGCGUAGAUAUCGGAAGGAACACCAGUGG